rnacentral:lncRNA from 1 species
AUUUUGUCUGUCGCAGUGUCGUGUCCCUCUCUCGUUACUCUCCAAGCAGUUCCUCUAUUGUUCUCUCUCCCAUUCUGUCUCUCACUCUCUCUCAAUCUCUCGUUACUCACCAAGGGUCCAAGGUGACCGACAGUGGUGCUCGCUUGGAUCCCGCGGUUCUGCCGUCGACGGCGACGGGCCGGUCAGAUCCACCACCGGCCCAAGCCGUGGUUGCUGCUUCCUCGCGUCGAUCCAGCCACCACCAUGUUUAUCUCCAUCGUUGGCUGGCGGCGGUGAGGCUGGUGAGCGGCGGUUCCGGCGGUUGGGAGGCUCGAGGGCGGCGACGAGGCUGGUGGGCGGUGGAUUCGGCGUAGGGAGGCGAGGCAGUGGACUCCCGUAGCCGGCGGUUGCCCAGCGGAGGUGGUGGCGGCGGCGGCCGCGCCCUCCCCUCCGCUAGAUCUGGCAGGAGGGGAGGCAGCGGGCUCUCGCGGCCGGCGCCUACCCGGCGGAGGCGGUAGCGGCGCCGGCGGCUGGGCCCUCGAUGGGCGGCGGGUUCCCAUAGGCGGUGGUGUCACUUUCUCCAUGUUUCUCCUCCUCGUGCUCAAAUGCUCUCGAUGGAUCCGUCGCCUUCCUCCUUCUGCUACUUCCUUCCUUUCGUUCUUUCCUCUCGGUUUUCUCUCCUCUCCUUCGCCACUCAGCGACGCCCUCCUUCUCCGCCGAUCCCCCUCCUCGACCACCCACCGACGGCGCCUCUCCCUCUCCUCCGCUCCCCUUCCUCGUCCCCCCACCGAGCCCGCCGGCGACGGAUCCAAUUCCCCCGAGCUCGCUGGCGAUGGAUCGGCCUUCGCCGUUGGGUGGCAUUCGUCAUCGUAGGAUCGAGCUGCCACAAUGGUCCAGUUCGGUGCCGAGCAGAUUGGGGCGCAAUGGGAUGCCAGGUGCUAGUGGUUACUUGAGCAGCUAUGGGGGUGAUGGUGGGUAUGGCAGUACACCAGGAGCCCAGGAAGAAAAUAUAUGGUCAAUAGGUAAGAUAUAUGGUAAGUUCAAUUCCCACACCACCUCUAAUCGUUGCGCAAUAUUGCUGGUUAUAGAUUGAUUGGUUUAUGACUGGUACUAUAUCAAAUAUAUUACUGUCUUUGAUAUGUUAUCUCUGUAGGAAUCAGAUUACUGUCAUGGUUCUUAUAUUGUGCACUUCCACUUACUGCUAGCUAGCUUGUAUCCUGUAUAUUUUAGUUAGUCAAGUAAUAGUAGCAUGAAAACACCAAAACAUUAUAUGUCUAAUCUGAACAAUCAUUUUGAGUAGCCUAAUUGAUUGCAAGCUCUUGUGAUGAUUUUGCUGUGUGCAUGAUUUAUGUUCUGCAUUCAUGUGAAUGUCUGAAUUGAAGGACUCGUCUGGAACUUCCACGUUGCUACGUGCCGCUGAACAACUGAAAAAAUUGGUUGUUGCUAACUUGAAAAAAUUGACUGUUGCUAACUGUUCUACAUCGACGGGAAAAAAACCAUACAUAGCAUUGGUUGUGCAUAUGAAAGGCUCAGCUAAACAUUCUCUUCUGAAAACAAGGCUCAUGUAUGUCUGGUUGACCUCUUUAAUUUAUGUAUAAAAACUUCAUGUAUGUCUGGUUGACCUCUUUUAUUUUAUGAUGGUACUGUUAGUUCGAAUUCAUAAGCUGACUUAUCUUAUGAAAUUAAAAUUGUAUUCAGGAUUGAGUUGGUUGAUAACCUAGAAUCGACAUUGAUUGGAGAUUGCUUGACGUCCUAGAGGAAGAGCCUUGCGAUUAAUAUUUUCUUGUGUGCUUCUAUUAUUUCUAUAGCCUGAUUGAAAGGUGGCUUGAUGUCCUAGAGGAAGAGCCUUGUGAUAUAUGUUUUCUUGUCUGCUUCUAUUAUUUAUACUUCUACAUUAUAUUGCCUGUAAUGUAAUGUAAUAUUAAAUUGGAGUA